GCUGGAAGAAGUCUGGAAGAGAUUCGGAGAGUAGUCGAUCACUGUAGAAAAUCGACUGAUAGUGAAGCCUAGAGAGCAUUUGGAGCAGUCCGAUAGAUGAACGGAGGAGCUCAUUAUUGGAGAAGUCCGAAUGACAUGAUAGGAGUUCGUCCAUUGGAGGAAUCUGAAGGACACUGUGGAAGGUUGACCGCUGGAGGAGUCCAGAUGGUAUUAUGGAAGCUCGAACAGUCGGGGGAGUUCAGAAAGAUGCCCCACAAGGUCGGAAGCUGGAAGAGCCC
rnacentral:lncRNA from 1 species